rnacentral:rRNA from 1 species
GCGUUAAGUUAAGGGCAUUUGGUGGAUGCCUUGGCAUGCACAGGCGAUGAAGGACGUGGCACUCUGCGAUAAGCUGCGGGGAGAUGAGAGCAAUCUUUGAUCCGCGGAUUUCCGAAUGGGGGAACCCCACCCUUUAGGGUGAACGUCAGCUGAAUACAUAGGCUGGCGUGGCGAACCCGGCGAACUGAAACAUCUCAGUAGCCGGAGGAAAAGAAAUCAACCGAGACUCCGUGAGUAGUGGCGAGCGAAAGCGGAUCAGCCCAGUGGUGGUCUCGAGGAAACCGGAAGCGUCUGGAAAGGCGCGCCAGAGCGGGUGACAGCCCCGUACGGGUCCAGCCUCGAGAUCAUCCUUGAGUAGGGCGGGACACGAGAAAUCCUGUCUGAACAUGGGGGGACCACCCUCCAAGGCUAAGUACUCGUGCAUGACCGAUAGCGAACCAGUACCGUGAGGGAAAGGUGAAAAGCACCCCGAUGAGGGGAGUGAAAGAGACCCUGAAACCGAAUGCCUACAAGCAGUGGGAGCCCGCUCACCUGUGGUGAGUGGAUAAUUUCUGCUUUGCGUGCCGAUUGGCAUGCUGACCGUGGCGCCCGUGUGGCGCUGCGGGAUCUGGUGUUGAGAUUGUUGUUGAUGUGAUGUUGUUCGGCGCGCUGCCGGGCGGCAUCGGGUUGGCGGCAGCGCGCCAGACAAGAAAUCGCUCGCCAGAGGCGAGCGGGUGACCGCGUACCUUUUGUAUAAUGGGUCAGCGAGUUGAUUUUACGAGCGAGCUUAAGCCGUUAGGUGUAGGCGCAGCGAAAGCGAGUCUGAAUAGGGCGUUUGAGUUCGUAGGAUCAGACCCGAAACCGGGUGAUCUAGCCAUGGCCAGGCUGAAGGUGGGGUAACACCCACUGGAGGGCCGCACCCACGUCUGUUGAAAAAGACGGGGAUGAGCUGUGGCUAGGGGUGAAAGGCCAAUCAAACCCGGAGAUAGCUGGUUCUCCGCGAAAACUAUUUAGGUAGUGCGUCGGAUAUUGCCCUCGGGGGUAGAGCACUGGAUGGGCUAGGGGGCCGCGAGGCUUACCAAACCUAACCAAACUCCGAAUACCGAGGAGUAUCAGUCCGGCAGACAGACGGCGGGUGCUAAGGUCCGUCGUCGAGAGGGAAACAGCCCAGACCGCCAGCUAAGGUCCCCAAAUCAUGGCUAAGUGGGAAAGGAUGUGGGAAGGCCAAGACAACCAGGAGGUUGGCUUAGAAGCAGCCAUCCUUUAAAGAAAGCGUAAUAGCUCACUGGUCUAAACAAGCCGUCCUGCGCCGAAGAUGUACCGGGGCUCAAGCCAUGUACCGAAGCUGCGGACUUGCACUUUUAGUGUGAGUGGUAGCGGAGCGUUGCCUAGGCCUGUGAAGGAAGACCCGCGAGGGCUUCUGGAGGUAUGGCAAGUGCGAAUGCUGACAUGAGUAGCGACAAGGAGUGUGAGAAACACUCCCGCCGAAAGUCCAAGGGUUCCUGCGCAAGGUUAAUCCGCGCAGGGUGAGCCGGCCCCUAAGGCGAGGCCGAAAGGCGUAGCCGAUGGGAACACGGUUAAUAUUCCGUGGCCUGCGGGUGGUGACGGAUUGCGGACGUUGUUCGGACUUAAUGGAUUGUCCGGGCAGCCAAGCAGUCCCAGGAAACAGCCCCCGCGUGAGACCGUACCCUAAACCGACACAGGUGGACAGGUAGAGUAUACCAAGGCGCUUGAGAGAACUGUGCUGAAGGAACUCGGCAAAUUGCCCCCGUAACUUCGGGAGAAGGGGGCCCCGGUCCUGGGCAACCAGGGUCGGGGGGCACAGACCAGGGGGUGGCGACUGUUUACUAAAAACACAGGGCUCUGCGAAGCCGUGAAGGCGACGUAUAGGGUCUGACGCCUGCCCGGUGCCGGAAGGUUAAGAGGAGAGGUUCACGCCUCGAAUCGAAGCCCCGGUAAACGGCGGCCGUAACUAUAACGGUCCUAAGGUAGCGAAAUUCCUUGUCGGGUAAGUUCCGACCUGCACGAAUGGCGUAACGACUUCCCCACUGUCUCCAGCACAGACUCAGCGAAAUUGAAUUCUCCGUGAAGAUGCGGAGUCCCCGCGGUUAGACGGAAAGACCCCGUGCACCUUUACUACAGCUUUGCAGUGGUACUAGGACUUGUAUGUGUAGGAUAGGCGGGAGGCUUUGAAGCGCAGGCGCUAGCUUGUGUGGAGCCAUCCUUGAAAUACCGCCCUUGCGCGUUUUAGUGCCUAACCGCGGCCCGUGAUCCGGGUCCGGGACCCUGCAUGGCGGGUAGUUUGACUGGGGCGGUCGCCUCCCAAAGAGUAACGGAGGCGCGCGAUGGUGGGCUCAAGCUGGUCGGACAUCAGCUGUCGAGUGCAAUGGCAUAAGCCCGCCUGACUGCGAGACAGACACGUCGAGCAGAGACGAAAGUCGGUCAUAGUGAUCCGGUGGUCCCGCGUGGAAGGGCCAUCGCUCAACGGAUAAAAGGUACGCCGGGGAUAACAGGCUGAUACCCCCCAAGAGUCCACAUCGACGGGGGUGUUUGGCACCUCGAUGUCGGCUCAUCACAUCCUGGGGCUGGAGCAGGUCCCAAGGGUUCGGCUGUUCGCCGAUUAAAGUGGUACGUGAGCUGGGUUUAGAACGUCGUGAGACAGUUCGGUCCCUAUCUGCCGUGGGUGUUCGAGACUUGAGAGGCGCUGUCCCUAGUACGAGAGGACCGGGAUGGACGUACCUCUGGUGGACCGGUUGUGGCGCCAGCCGCAUCGCCGGGUAGCUAUGUACGGAAGGGAUAACCGCUGAAGGCAUCUAAGCGGGAAGCCCCCCUCAAAACCAGGUCUCGCCAUAAGAGCCGUCGUAGACCACGACGUCGAUAGGAAGCAUGUGGAAGCGCGGCAACGCGUGAAGCUGAGCUUUACUAAUCGCUCGAUUGGCUUGAUCAA